AUUGAACGCUGGCGGCAUGCUUUACACAUGCAAGUCGAGCGAGUGGCGAACGGGUGAAUAACGCGUCGGAACGUACCGAGGAGUGGGGGAUAACUUGCAGAAAGGAGAGCUAAUACCGCAAAUUAUUCGCGCGGCCGAUGGCUGAUUAGCUGGUUGGGGGGGUAAAGGCCCCCCUGGGCGACGAUCAGUAGCGGGUGUGAGAGGAUGAUCCGCCACACUGGGACUGAGACACGGUCCAGACUCCUACGGGAGGCAGCAGUGGGGAAUUUUGGACAAUGGGCGCAAGCCUGAUCCAGCCAUGCCGCGUGUCUGAAGAAGGCCUUCGGGUUGUAAAGGACUUUUGUCAGGGAAGCGGUACCUGAAGAAUAAGCACCGGCUAACUACGUGCCAGCAGCCGCGGUAAUAC
rnacentral:rRNA from 1 species